rnacentral:rRNA from 1 species
UGCAGUCGAGCGAAUGGAUUAAGAGCUUGCUCUUAUGAAGUUAGCGGCGGACGGGUGAGUAACACGUGGGUAACCUGCCCAUAAGACUGGGAUAACUCCGGGAAACCGGGGCUAAUACCGGAUAACAUUUUGAACCGCAUGGUUCGAAAUUGAAAGGCGGCUUCGGCUGUCACUUAUGGAUGGACCCGCGUCGCAUUAGCUAGUUGGUGAGGUAACGGCUCACCAAGGCAACGAUGCGUAGCCGACCUGAGAGGGUGAUCGGCCACACUGGGACUGAGACACGGCCCAGACUCCUACGGGAGGCAGCAGUAGGGAAUCUUCCGCAAUGGACGAAAGUCUGACGGAGCAACGCCGCGUGAGUGAUGAAGGCUUUCGGGUCGUAAAACUCUGUUGUUAGGGAAGAACAAGUGCUAGUUGAAUAAGCUGGCACCUUGACGGUACCUAACCAGAAAGCCACGGCUAACUACGUGCCAGCAGCCGCGGUAAUACGUAGGUGGCAAGCGUUAUCCGGAAUUAUUGGGCGUAAAGCGCGCGCAGGUGGUUUCUUAAGUCUGAUGUGAAAGCCCACGGCUCAACCGUGGAGGGUCAUUGGAAACUGGGAGACUUGAGUGCAGAAGAGGAAAGUGGAAUUCCAUGUGUAGCGGUGAAAUGCGUAGAGAUAUGGAGGAACACCAGUGGCGAAAGCGACUUUCUGGUCUGUAACUGACACUGAGCGC